rnacentral:rRNA from 1 species
GACGAACGCUGGCGGCGUGCCUAAUACAUGCAAGUUGAGCGCUGAAGGUUGGUACUUGUACCGACUGCAUGAGCAGCGAACGGGUGAGUAACGCGUGGGGAAUCUGCCUUUGAGCGGGGGACAACAUUUGGAAACGAAUGCUAAUACCGCAUAAAAACUUUAAACACAAGUUUUAAGUUUGAAAGAUGCAAUUGCAUCACUCAAAGAUGAUCCCGCGUUGGAUUAGCUAGUUGGUGAGGUAAAGGCUCACCAAGGCGAUGAUACAUAGCCGACCUGAGAGGGGGGACGGCCCAAUUGGGACUGAGAAACCGCCCAAACUCCUUCGGGAGGGAGCAGUAGGGAAUCUUCGGCAAUGGACGAAAGGCUGACCGGGCAACGCCGCGUGAGUGAAGUAGGUUUUCGGAUCGUAAAACUCUGUUGGUAGGGAAGAACGUUGGUGGGAAGGGAAAGCUCAUCAAGUGACGGUAACUACCCAGAAAGGGACGGCUAACUACGUG